rnacentral:lncRNA from 1 species
CGUAGGUGGACUUUCCAACAAGACAAUGACCCAAAACAUACCUCAAGAUCCACACAGAAAUGGUUCUGUGACAACAAAAUCAAUGUUCUGCCAUAGCCAUCUCAGUCGCCGGACCUCAAUCCAAUCGAAAACCUGUGGGCUGAGUGGAAGAGGGCAGUUGAUAAGCGCAAACCCAAGAUUGUGAAGGAUCUUGAAAGGAUCUGCAUAGAGGAAUGGUCCAAAAUCCCUCCAAAUGUGUUCCUUAACCUUGUCAAACAUUACAGGAAAAGACUCCAUGCUUUUAUCCUUGCCAGAGGUGGUUGCACUAAGUACUGAAUGAGGAGUACCAAUAAUUAUGAAACCUUGAUUUUGGGGCAGACACAUUGGGGACUUCAGGAGAAGAUCCAUCUGCUUCCCCUCAACAAAACAAUACAAUCCAAUACAUCUUACUGGCUGUUUUACCAGUCAUACUGAUCAUCGCUGGAGUGGCUUUGUACAUAUACAAGAGAAACAAAGGAAAGAAAAACACGGAGGAGAAAAGUAGUGGGGGCAAAACAGAAGGAGAGAAAAAGGAUGAUCCCUCUGUAAUGUAUGAUACGGUUCAAGAACCCAGAAACAACAACCAAGAGGAGACAACAACACCCCUCAGUGCUCCAGAGGAUCCCUCAGUGACAUACUCCACCAUCGUCCACAUGAAAGGAAAAAGGAACGCAGUAGUGAGUCUGGAGAGAGGUGGAGAAACAGAGUACGCCACUAUCAAGACAGGCACGUUCUCCUAGAGCCACUGUACAAUAGGCCUACAGCCAUCUCACAGCCUUUUCCUGCAGAGAGAUCUCAUAUUGGGCCCAGUAUCAAGAGGUUUGAUCUGGCACACAUGACGAUAAAUAUAUUUCACUCUCUACUAAGACAUGUUGAGUGGUUAUCACAGGAGAUCAGAUGUUAACCUACAACCAAAAUAAUAAAGUCCCAGAGAUAUAGGCAAGAUGAUUGGUGAAGCAAUAAGAUACCAUUUUGUUUUUGUGUAGCUGAGACAAUCAAAGCAACUUAUAUGGCUUAAAGUUCAGCCAGUUCUCUUUUUAUAUCGUUGUUGUGCAUUUAUUUUUAAAUCUGUAAACUUUUUGAAAUAGAGACGGAUGAUUUCAUACGUUUGAGAAAAGGGAAAAUGUGGUUUGAUGUGUCAAAGCAACAAAAAAAAAAGAUUUCACAAUCAGUAUUGCAAGAGGUUGCUAUCAUCCAUCUUAAUUUAUACACUAUACUUCUUAUUUUUCUGUCAAGUAACUGGUAUACACUGAGCAUUUCAUCAUUCUCGAAGUUGUGAAAACAACCUCAACAUGUUGUCAAAACCUGUUAGUUAGCUACAGUACUUCCUCUUUCGUGUAAUGGACAAAUCACAUAUUGUGGACUUCCUGAAGAGGGAAAGCAGUCUAACAAGGUCAUCAACUGAAGCAUACACUUCUGAAGUGCACAACUAACAGGGAAUGACAUGUUUAAGUGUGUCCUUUUCUUUGUCAUUUGACAAAGUCAGAUUCUCCAAUCAUAACUGUAAAUACACUGAACAAAGAUAUAUACGCAACAUGUAAAGUGUUGGUCCUACAGUAUGUUUCAUGAGCUGAAAUAAAAGAUCACAGAAAUGUUCCAUACACACAAAAAGCUUAUUUCUAUCCCAGGCCCACCCAUGGCUGUACCUCUGCCCAGUCAUGUGAAAUCCAUAAAUUAGGGCCUAAUUGAUUUAUUUCAAUUGACUGAUUUCCUUAUAUGAACUGUAACUCAGUAAAAUGUUUGAAAUUGUUGCAUAUUGCAUUUCUAUUUUUGUUCAGUAUACAUAUGAGGACACCGAGAUCCAGACUUCUGUAAUUUUAUCUAAUCUGACAAAUAAAUGAAUAACGCAAAUCUAUAUUUUAUACACAAUAAAGAAAAUAAAUGAUGGGUCAACAUCUAAAUAUUGCUUCCAGUGUCGAUCAACACUCACUAGAGAAGUAGGCAAAACUAGAAACGCCGCUCUGCGGACAAAAGGCAAUUUUAAAACUCUUCUGUGACUCCUGCCAUGUCUACAGACAUCCCCAAACAAACAGAAACGCAG